rnacentral:rRNA from 1 species
AUUGAACGCUGGCGGCAGGCCUAACACAUGCAAGUCGAACGAGUGGCGGACGGGUGAGUAAUGUCUGGGAAACUGCCUGAUGGAGGGGGAUAACUACUGGAAACGGUAGCUAAUACCGCAUACAAUCAGAUGUGCCCAGAUGGGCUUAGCUUGUUGGUGGGGUAACGGCUCACCAAGGCGACGAUCCCUAGCGGGUCUGCGAGGAUGACCAGCCACACUGGAACUGAGACACGGUCCAGACUCCUACGGUAGGCAGCAGUGGGGAAUAUUGCACAAGGGGCGCAAGCCGGAUGCAGCCAUGCCGCGUGUAUGAAGAAGGCCUUCGGGUUGUAAAGUACUUUCAGCGGGGAGGCGUUACCCGAAGAAGAAGCACCGGCUAACUCCGUGCCAGCAGCCGCGGUAAUUC